GGAGAGACAUGUAAAGCAAAAAGGAGAAAGAGAGGUACGACACGAUUUCGCCGGUGAGUGACCGAUGAUGCCUAACCUAUGCUGGUGAAAGCAUACAGCAGAGUGUUUCAUCCGCCUAUUAGUUCGUCACGAAGAUGAUGCAUGCCGCAUGUGGAGUAAUGAUUUAGGGUUCCAACUGCGGAGUUGCAGCGGCAAGCGUCAGCUUUUGACGGAGGCGGCACCUUCUGCCAUCCUAUGACGAUGACUAUCAAGGUGACGCUUUGCAUAGUGUAAGGACUAACUUGGAUAAUCCAAGCAGUGUACUCUAGAGAUGCACAAAAUAUCCGGUUCCGGACCCGACCCGACCACAUACCGAUUCUAGAACCAGGGCGUAGAAAUAGGAACUGAAUCGGACCCGACCCGGAACCACCUAUACCCGGUUAAAAUCCGGACCCGACCCGGCCAAACCGGUCAAAACUAGGUCAAAUACCCGAACGUACCCGGAACCGUUUCCUACCCUACCCGGUUCUUGAUUUUUAGAUCAAACCCGAACCCAGUUCCUGGGUAUUAAAAAACCCCGUUUUGUGCAUCUAAUCGUGUGUACUUCAGGGUAUUAAAAAAAACUUUGUACUCCAAAGCUGCAAUCCAAUCGAGUGUAAAUUUCACAAACUUUUAUUCAACAAUAAUUAAGAUGUUCAUGUAUUAUGCAUUUGAGAGUGAUUGUGUUUGACUUUUGCCUCAAAAGUCAAAGCAAUCCCUGUCACCUACAUUUAAACAAUAUCCAUUUAAUUAAAAAAAACAUGAUCUUGAUCUGAUGGUUGUGAUAAUAGUUCUGAGCAAAUUGUUAGUUAUGCAUGGUUGGUUUUUUUGAAUUGGCAAACGAGAUUAAAACAAGAAAGAAUGAAAAAUCUUAUAAAACAAUUUCACAUGAAAGCAAAUUCACUCGCAAUCUAGAAUACAUAAUUUUAUAUACGUACAUGUAUGUCUUCACACCAACAACAUGUGUACUAACCAUUUAUUAAAAUUAGGUAUUGCAUAAGCUUAGUUGGAAUACAAUGCCCUGAUCUACAAAUAACAGAUACUUGCAAUGACACGACAUGGUCCCAACACCAGUACAAGCAAUCAAGGGAAGAAGAGUGAAAUUACAAAGCCAAACACUAAACGAUGCACGCUCAGGAGCACAAUAAUGCACUGUAAAAUAGCGUCACUGAAGUAGACCCAGAGGCAGGCUCAACGAUAGCAAUUGUCACAACCUUAGCAGCCCCAGCAACACCAAUGGGAGCAAAACAGAUUGUCGCAGCAGCUAAGAAUAUCAUAUUUCCAAAGCCAGCAUCCAAAAAUUGACAAACCGGCCCCCUCUCAUAGUCUGAAGGCGGGGAAACCGCAUGUGGUAGUGGUUUGUGCAUCCAAGCAGCAGUGAUUGAGUCCGAUGGUGUUACAACCCGCAAGUCGACGUCAACAGUGCUCAACGACGAAGACGGCGGUCAAGCGGCUAGGGUUCCAAUCAAGUUCCGACAAGUUUCCGGUGUAGCUGCAUACUUAGAUGAUGGCAAAGGGCUAUCACAUGUGGUAGCAAAUAGUAAGGGUGUAAAUAAACCAAGAGCUUGAUGUGAGAGCCCUUUUAUUCGUGUUGCAAUGCAAGGGCAUUUCUCCACUACUAAAUACCUCACCGAACGUGUAUUGAAACUGAUGAUGGCACUACUCCUUUGCUGUUAGUUGUAGCUGCAAGCUCGCUCCUUUGCUGUUUAGUUGUAGUUGUAGGCUCACUCCAAUGCUUGGAGCUGUUACAAUUUUGUCUACUAUUAGAAAAGGGUUCUUUGCUAACAAGAAUGUAAGCAAU